rnacentral:sRNA from 1 species
GCCAGGCACAGUGGCACAUGUCUGUAGGCCAGCUACUUGGGGGCUGAGGCAGGAGGACUGCUGGAGCCUAGGAAUUCAAGGCCAGCUUGGGCAACAGAGCAAGACUCCAUCUAAA